rnacentral:rRNA from 1 species
GACAGAGGGUGCAAACGUUGUUCGGAAUUACUGGGCUUAAAGAGUUCGUAGGCGGCAUGAAAAGUAGGGUGUGAAAGCCCUCGGCUCAACCGAGGAAUUGCGCUCUAAACUGUCGUGCUCGAGGAAUCUAGAGGUGAGCGGAACUGAUGGUGGAGCGGUGAAAUGCGUUGAUAUCAUCAGGAACACCGGAGGCGAAGGCGGCUCACUGGGGAUUUUCUGACGCUGAGGAACGAAAGCCAGGGGAGCGAACGGG